CGGAGGAGGAAAACACAAACGUGGAUUUGCAGAAGAUUUGCAGAAGAAAGCCCACAUCUGGCCCGACGGUCUGGAAAGUGUUGGUAGACGGUCGCAGCCAGUCUGUCCCGGUCGUCUGAGCGAAUAUGCCACGUCAAGGCUGGAUACUCUUCAUGGCCGGCGUGACGAGACGGACCGCGAGGGACGCCGAGCCCAGACGCCCACCAAACAAACACAGCCAAAAAAAAAAAAAAAAAAAUGAGAGGAGAGAAGGCGGCAAACAGCGGACGAGGCCC